rfam:Daphnia pulex DAPPTscaffold_125_Cont5193, whole genome shotgun sequence.
UAGCUCAGUUGGUAGAGCGCUGAACUCGAGUUCAGAUGUUCCGUGUUCAAACCUCGG